AUACAAUGCAAGGGAGAUCCCAUGAUCACAAAGGUGGUUUUCCCAGGGUGAGGCCUAUCCUUGCACUCUGGGCAGGCUAACCCCUGCAAGUUUCCCCCAAUGCAGGAAAUUUGAUUGGACAAUUUUGUGGUAACAGGGGAUUACUUUCUUACUUUCUCCUU